rnacentral:rRNA from 1 species
CCUACGGGUGGCUGCAGUGGGGAAUAUUGGUCAAUGGGCGUAAGCCUGAACCAGCCACGUCGCGUGAGGGAUGAAGGUUCUAUGGAUCGUAAACCUCUUUUAUAAGGGAAUAAAGUGUAGGACGUGUCCUGUUUUGUAUGUACCUUAUGAAUAAGGAUCGGCUAACUCCGUGCCAGCAGCCGCGGUAAUACGGAGGAUCAGAGCGUUAUCCGGAUUUAUUGGGUUGAAAGGGUGCGUAGGCGGCCUUAUAAGUCAGCGGUGAAAGUCUGUGGCUCAACCAUGGAAUUGCAGUUGAAACUGGCAGGAUUGAGUAUGUUUGAGGCAGGCGGAAUGCGUGGUGUAGCGGUGAAAUGCUUAGAUAUUACGAAGAACCCCGAUGGCGAAGGCAGCCUGCUAAGCCAUGACUGACGCUGAGGCACGAAAGCGUGGGGAUCAAACAGGAUUAGAUACCCCGGUAGUC